rnacentral:tRNA from 1 species
GGAGCCCGUUGUGGGCGAGGGCGCGCACCGCCUCGCGGACGGUGUUGCGGGCGACGCCGAGCUGCUCGACCAGUUCCGGUUCGGUCGGGAUCCGC